rnacentral:rRNA from 1 species
GGAUUGCCUCAGUAACGGCGAGUGAAGCGGCAAAAGCUCAAAUUUGAAAUCUGGCUCUUUCAGGGUCCGAGUUGUAAUUUGUAGAAGAUGUUUCGGGUGUGGUCCCAGUCUAAGUUCCCUGGAACUGGACAUCACAGAGGGUGAGAAUCCCGUAUGUGACUGGGUACCUACGUCCAUGUGAAACUCUUUCGACGAGUCGAGUUGUUUGGGAAUGCAGCUCAAAAUGGGUGGUAAAUUUCAUCUAAAGCUAAAUAUUGGCCAGAGACCGAUAGCGCACAAGUAGAGUGAUCGAAAGAUGAAAAGCACUUUGGAAAGAGAGUUAAACAGUACGUGAAAUUGUUGAAAGGGAAGGGCAUGCAAUCAGACUUGCGCCUAGUUGAUCAUCCGGGCUUUUGCCCGGUGCACUCGAUUAGGCUCAGGCCAGCAUCAGUUUAGAGGGUUGGAUAAAGGCCUUGGGAAUGUGGCCCCUCUCGGGGGGUGUUAUAGCCCAAGGUGCAAUGCAGCCACUCUGGACUGAGGACCGCGCUUCGGCUAGGAUGCUGGCGUAAUGGUUGUAUGCCGCCCGUCUUGAAACACGGACCAAGGAGUCUAACAUCUAUGCGAGUAUUUGGGUGUUAAACCCAUAUGCGUAAUGAAAGUGAACGGAGGUGAGAGCCCUUAAGGGUGCAUCAUCGACCGAUCCUGAUGUCUUCGGAUGGAUUUGAGUAAGAGCAUAGCUGUUGGGACCCGAAAGAUGGUGAACUAUGCGUGAAUAGGGUGAAGCCAGAGGAAACUCUGGUGGAGGCUCGCAGCGGUUCUGACGUGCAAAUCGAUCGUCAAAUUUGCGUAUAGGGGCGAAAGAC